AUGGGGACAAGCCCUUGGGGUGGCUCAGCAUUGCACAUGGGGACACCUGCUAAGGAUUGGCCCCGUAGAGCCCAUCUGGGCUGGGUAGGGAAGCCCAGGGCGGCAGGACGAGGACCUGGAGGACAUCCCUGCGUGUUGGGGGACAGCAGCACCCCGAGGUGCCCCGUCACCUGCAGCUCUCAGCCGACUCAUCCCCUGCUCGGGACGAGCGGGAUGGUGCCCGAUGGAGAUGGGCACAGCACCUUGGCACGGCUCAGAUGGGAGAUGGCACCCCCGUGUCCCCACAGCCCUGCCACCAGCCCCCAGCACAGCACCGUGGGUAUCCCCACCUUCCCUGUUCCCCAAGGGGCUGGGAGAGAGGUGGAUGAGGAGGGGACGGAGCCCGGCAGGAUUCCUGUGGGCAGCCUGGCUCCUGGGGAAGGCGGCACGAGUGCCAGCCCUGUUCCAAGGAGUGCCGUGGCCACGUUGGCCCAGCAAGGCCUUCCCCGUGCUCCCAGCUCCUGGGCAUCCCGGGCACCGGGGCGGCUCCUGCUCCGCACGCACCCCAAAAGCCGCGCAGGGCUUGGCCCCAAAGCAGGGGCUACCGUUGUCCCCGGGGUCCCAGCACACACAGGCACACCACGACCUCCCCGAGCCGUGCCCACAGCAGUUAGGAGGUGGCUCCUGGCCCUGACCAGACAGGGGGUGGGACGGGGGGCUUGGCAGCAGAGGGGGCUCAGGGAGGGCUGCGGAUCCUGCCACGGCUGUGCCAUCCCACUGAGGGGCACAGCCCUGUCCCCAGGGCCAGGUGGCAUCCCAGGGCGGAGGGGCAGGACCAGGGCACCAGGAGUGUCCCUGCCCCAGCUCUGCACACACCCAGGGCUCCUCCUGCAGCCUGGAGGGGCAUCAGGGAGGGGCACGCCGGCUGCGAUGGACGUGUCCCCUCCCCAGAUAAAAUAUUUCUGGCACCCCAAGUCCUCAGGGGACCUCUGGGGGCUCUCAUCAUCCCUUCAAGCAUCAUUCGCCUUGCUCCCCAUGGAGCACGCUGCGACCCCGCUGCCUUGGGGCUGA
rnacentral:lncRNA from 1 species